GCGGAGCUUGUUACUGGUUACUUGGCCUCAUGGCGGUCCGAGCUUCGUUCGAGAACAACUGUGAGAUCGGCUGCUUUGCCAAGCUCACCAACACCUACUGUCUGGUAGCGAUCGGAGGCUCAGAGAACUUCUACAGUGUGUUCGAGGGCGAGCUCUCCGAUACCAUCCCCGUGGUGCACGCGUCUAUCGCCGGCUGCCGCAUCAUCGGGCGCAUGUGUGUGGGAGACAGAAGAAAUUCUGGCAGAUGUGCUCAAGGUGGAAGUCUUCAGACAGACAGUGGCCGACCAGGUGCUAGUAGGAAGCUACUGUGUCUUCAGCAAUCAGGGAGGGCUGGUGCAUCCCAAGACUUCAAUUGAAGACCAGGAUGAGCUGUCCUCUCUUCUUCAAGUCCCCCUUGCGGGGACUGUGAACCGAGGCAGUGAGGUGAUUGCUGCUGGGAUGGUGGUGAAUGACUGGUGUGCCUUCUGUGGCCUGGACACAACCAGCACAGAGCUGUCAGUGGUGGAGAGUGUCUUCAAGCUGAAUGAAGCCCAGCCUAGCACCAUUGCCACCAGCAUGCGGGAUUCCCUCAUUGACAGCCUCACCUGAGUCACCUUCCAAGUUGUUCCAUGGGCUCCUGGCUCUGGACUGUGGCCAACCUUCUCCACAUUCCGCCCAAUCUGUACCGGAUGCUGGCAGGGAGGUGGCAGAGAGCUCACUGGGACUGAGGGGCUGGGCACCCAACCCUUUUCCACCUGUGCUUAUCGCCUGGAUCUAUCAUUACUGCAAAAACCUGCUCUGUUGUGCUGGCUGGCAGGCCCUGUGGCUGCUGGCUGAGGGUUCUGCUGUCCUGUGCCACCCCAUUAAAGUGCAGUUCCCUCCGGGC
rnacentral:lncRNA from 1 species